AUUGAACGCUGGCGGCAUGCCUUACACAUGCAAGUCGAACGGCAGCAUGAUCUAGCUUGCUAGAUUGAUGGCGAGUGGCGAACGGGUGAGUAAUACAUCGGAACGUGCCCUGUAGUGGGGGAUAACUAGUCGAAAGAUUAGCUAAUACCGCAUACGACCUGAGGGUGAAAGUGGGGGACCGCAAGGCCUCAUGCUAUAGGAGCGGCCGAUGUCUGAUUAGCUAGUUGGUGAGGUAAAGGCUCACCAAGGCGACGAUCAGUAGCUGGUCUGAGAGGACGAUCAGCCACACUGGGACUGAGACACGGCCCAGACUCCUAUGGGAGGCAGCAGUGGGGAAUUUUGGACAAUGGGCGAAAGCCUGAUCCAGCAAUGCCGCGUGUGUGAAGAAGGCCUUCGGGUUGUAAAGCACUUUUGUCCGGAAAGAAAUGGCUCUGGUUAAUACCUGGGGUCGAUGACGGUACCGGAAGAAUAAGGACCGGCUAACUACGUG
rnacentral:rRNA from 1 species